rnacentral:sRNA from 1 species
AACUUAGACUGAAACCUUCUGUCUUGAAUCACACUCCCAAGAAAUGGAACGCGCGAUCAGAUUUGCGUUUGUGGCAAUAUGACGGAAUGUACAAGAUUCAAAUGCACUAACAAUCUCAUGGAUUUGUGUUAACCAAUUUCUAUAGAAAGGCUAUUUGGACGGCUGCAAAACGGCGUUAAGUGCGGCUGGACAGUCCAACUCUAUUAUCACCGUGGUAAGAAUAUCUCUAUAUACAUUUUUUGUCGCACUUAUCAUGAUUAAUCAAG